UAUCCUUCACUUUCAUCUCGGGAACAAAUGAGUGGAUAUCGUCUCGAACAAGUUCAGAUCCGAUGUUCAGCUUUUCUUCUUCGGUUAAAUCAACGCGUUAUUUAAACAGAUCUGUUCACGAUCUACGUUCUGAUGCGGUUGUUUUAUGUUUUCAUGGAUCGAUUUCUGGCGAUUUUGCAGGAUGCCUAGGGUUUUGACUUUUGAUGCGAGAUGUUGACUUUUUUUGUUGAUCUACCUUUGAUCGGCGUUAAACUGGAUUGUUUGGCGUGGAUCUGGCUAGAAACAUCUCAGAUCUGUAGUUUUCUUCAGGCGAUUGUGAUAUGGAAGGUAUUCUGGUAUCUGGGGACUUUCUGUCUGAUUUGAUCUGGUGUGAUGAAGUUAUGAUAACCCCCCGAUUGAUUUGAUUCACCUUCAGAAUCAUCACAACUGGUCAGAUUCGACUUGUUUUGGAACUUGAUGUUGAUGUAUAGCUGAGAAGUGAAGUUAUUGGCACCCAGGUUUGUAUGUAAUUGGAAGUAACGGAUCUCGAUUUAUGUAGGGGUCCUGUAUGUCCUAUUACGCCUUGUUGUUACUUUGACCUUUGCCAUGUUGGGUGCGCUCGCAUGGCAGGUCGCCUAUCUUAAUAAAAAAUCAUAUUUUUUGUUUUGGGGAGAGGUCGCACGGGGUUGCCCGGGAUCUCUCCUCUGGUGUGCGCCGUGUGUUCUUGUGUUUGUGUAUCUCUAUUGGAUACCUAGCAGUGCUCAAAUUCUCUCUACAGUUCAAAUAGUGGCAACAUCAACAACAAUUACUCAACUUACGCUAUCAAAGCUUAACAUAUUCCUGGUUAUCGCUUGAAGGUACUUUCGUCCAACUGCUUAGCAUGGUAGUAUACAAUUUAAACCACCAUUCAUGUUUAUAAGACUAUCUGUAUUGGAGCGCUACAUAGCGCAAUUUCUCAAUAUAAAGCAUCAUGGCGCCCCUGAACACCAUUACAGGGGGCACUAUGAGGGUGGAAAAUCUUGGAGCUGCGAUAGACAUAGCGGCGUGAACAUUUGCACCAUCUUUCCCCUCACUAACACAUAUAUAUACACAUAUAUGUAUGUACAAUUCACCAUCUUUCCCCUCACUAACACAUAUAUACACACAUAUAUGUAUGUACAAUUCAAGGGGUUGUAUAACCCCCUUACCACUACACCCACUUGUGAUAUAAAGCCCCAUAAAGCCCCUCUCCUACGCAUUUCGCCCCAAAGGGGCUUUAUGACUACACAUGUCCUAAUUGGUUCACCUUGACGGGUAUAAUUUGAAACGAAAUUAGAUGUUAAAUUUACCAUGUUUUAGUCUCAAUUUCGGGUGAGAGCAUACUGGGUUGGUUUAUAAACGGCAUUAACUAGAUCUCGACUGCAUCAAUGAGCAAAAAAUUCCAAUUGCCUUGAAAUUUGUUGAAAAGAUUUUUCAUGAUAUAAGUGAACAUAAACUUUAGUUAGCAACCUGCUUUUUCUAAAAAACUCUAAAGAACUAAAGGUUUUUGAGUUUUCUACGUGUGUUUUUCCAAGUUUGUACUGGUUGGUCCUGAAGUAUUGUCAUUUGCAUCCACGGUUAUAUGUACGGCGUGUAAUCAGAAGUAACGGGUCUUAUCGUUAGUAGGGAUCCUGUAUGUCUUAUUGCACCUUGUUAUCUGACCUUUGCCAUGUAGGGCGCGCUCUCAUGGCAGGUCCUUCAUUCUACUAAAAGUUCUUAUUUUGGUUGGGAGAGCUCGCACGGGUUUCCCGGGACCUCGCCUCUUGUUUCUGUGUUCUCUAUAGCAGUGUUCAAAUCAUCCCAACAGUUUUUUUUAGAGGCAACAUCAACAGUUACGCAACAUAGCACCAACAUUAAUAAACUCAAGAUCGUCACUUGAAGGUACUUUUGUGCAGUUGAAUGUCAGGGUAUUAUGCAAUUAUAUCACAGGUUAUGUCUACAACUGGUCAGCAAACGUUAAAAGUUUUUAUUGAAAUUCCUUGAAACAUUUAAAAUUCCGAUUGAUUUCUUCAACUGAUCAAUCAUUUAUUUUGCAAGUUAUAAUUGAAAGACGAGCUAGAGGGCCGAAAUUCAUCAGUGUGCAAGUAUUUUUAACUGAUUUUGUCAGUACACAAUGACUUACUUUGCCUACAAUUCUAUCUAAAGAAAUAAUGCUUUUCAAGUAUUCUUCGUUCACGAAGUACCAUAAUUGAGGGUGUUAAUACAUCAAUGUGUGAAGCAACUAACGGGAUUUAUGAACUUGCAAACUGAAUACGGUUUCAUCAUCUUGAACUAGACUUUACACUUUACAAUGGUAAUUGUUCCAAUUAGGUUUAUAUUAUAUAUAAUAAUCUAUUCUUGUAAUUUUUUAUGAUAAUUUACGCUUCAAGUUGAUUUACUACAUAAAGAAUCACCUUCGCAUGUGCUGAGGUUCCUGAUGGAACAUUAGUUACUCAUACACGAAGUGUAGUUUUGUUGCUAUAUGAGAAACUUGAAUCAAGUUGGUGAAUUUUGAAUAUAUGUAACGUUGGGGUAGUGUUGUAUUGGAGGCUGAAAUUUGUAUUUUACAAUUUUGAGCAUAGGUUUUUACUUCGGAGUUGAUCUUUUCUGAUGUUAUGUUUCUUGUGGACUACAAUUUUAUUAUGACCUCUUUUGUUGGAGUUGAGGUAACUUUGAUCCUCAGUGAACUUGUCAAGACUGUAGAUGUGGUACCUGGUCUUCAACAUCUUUUGAAGCUUGAUACGGUACCUGAAGAUAUUUUAAUUUCUUGGAUCUGAUCUAGCUGCUGCUUUGGUGGUUAAGUGUCUAUGUCGUCGGCUCUAUGCGCUGGCUGCUUCUUGCUGUUUUGUAGUCAAAUUUCUUCUGCUGCCUGCACCUGUUUUAUCAAGCUGCUUCGCUGUUGAACUGUCUAGUGCUAUUUGCUUGUUGUCUGGUCAUUCAUCGUCUACAAAUUAUCUUCAUUGCUGUGGUCCCAAGUUGCUGGCCCUGCCGUUAUGAUAGUUGCACAUGAAUUGCAAGUUCCUGAAUAUGGAUGUUUGUCACCAACGGUUUUUUUGGUCCAGGUAAAGCACAAUUGAAGCUAAUGUUUUUUUGUAAUUAAUUUUGAGAUUAUGAAGUUGGUCUUAGGUUUGCUUUGCUAGAUUCUGUAGGGUUUGAUGGAAUAACAUCGAAUCCUGGUGUUUCUAAAUGCAGACCUUGUGCUUCAUUGAUCUGUCACUUGGAAAAUAUGAUGGAUGGAUGUGUUUGUUUUGGUGGUUGUGAUUGUUACUGUACCUUGUUUGUCACAGCUGUUUGGUCACGUUGGUCAUCGUUACCAGCAUAGUAGCUGGUGCUGGUGCUUAUUUGAGUUUAAUGGAAUUUCUAAGGAGCGUUUUCGUUAUGCAGUACGAAAAAUCCCCUAGUUCA